UUAUGGUCACGUGAUAUUUUUUAUCAAAAAAAGUAAAAUAUGAAAAAUAGUGCUUAUUUUGCCGAAUUUAUCACUUUGGUAAAACCUUGAAUACUGCUAACAAAGCGCUAACAUUCAGAUGAAUGAAGAGUCUAUUGCGAAUGUUUGCCCUCUGAAAGUGAAACGGGCCGUCAUCUGAAAAUCGAAGCAAAACAAAAUGACUACAGCCAUCCAGUGAUUCCCGUUCAGAUUUGGACCUAUUAUUUACCAAAAAGUUGACAAGGUACCAAAUUACUCUUAAUUAUUAUCAUUUUUGAGUCAUUGUAUCAGUAACAUUAUAAUGGAUCCGACAACAGAUGUUGAAAAGGUAUCUGACUCAGCAGUUGAUCAUGUUAACUCAGAUACAGAUGAGGAUGGUGUUUCUGAUGAUUCCAAAGCAGAAUCUGAAGUGUCCGAAGCCACGAUAGAUUUAGAUGAUGAUGAUGACCAAGUAGAAUCUGAAACAACAAUAGAUUUAGAUGAUGAAGACAAAGUUGAAGCCGAAGCCACUAGAGAUGUAGAUGGUCAUGAUCACAUAGAUAGUACUAAAAUUGCUGAAACUAAUGCUAACCCUGGCAAAAGUAGAACUGGAAAAAAUGGUAAUUCCAGCAAUCAGGCCCGAAAUUGGUUUUGUAUGCGAUGCCAAAUUCAACUCAAAGAUCUUGAUCAUCUUAAGGCUCAUAUGGCCAGUCAUGAUGACCGCAAUGGUACCUUGGAUAUCAUAAGCUGUGAACAGUGUGGAAAACGAUUUGACUAUCGAUAUAAAUUGAAGCGACAUAUGGAAAGUCAUAUGAACAUUGUUCGUGAGAAAAAAUUCAGUUGUGAAUAUUGUGGAAAUUGUUACUCACGAGAAGCAGGGUUGAGACGUCACAGACUCGCUGAACAUGAACCUGACCAGAAAUUGUUCAAGUGCAAGACUUGCGGGAAGUCAUUUGGUGAAAAGAGACCCCUUGUAGAACACGAAAAUAUUCAUACUGGAAUUAAAUCCUUUAUUUGUGACCAAUGUGGUAGAGGAUUUAUCAACAAAUCAUAUUUGGCUAAACAUGAAAAGAGCCACAAUACAGCAGCGAAAAAGGCUUGUCACAUCUGUGGUAAACUAUUUGUGCAAAAUAGAUAUCUCAAAGUCCAUUUGCUGACUCAUACAGGACAAAAAUUAGUUAAAUGUGAACUAUGUUCAAAAUCAUUCACAACUAUGGAAUACCUGAAAAAGCAUAGAGCUAGACAUUUGAAGCCUGCUGUAAAAUCAUUCAAAUGUAACUAUUGUAUCAGUGCAUACACUGAAGAGAGAAAUCUAAGAAGGCACAUGAUGAAACAGCAUUUUAUGACCAUUCCAAAGCAAUAUUAAA
rnacentral:misc_RNA from 1 species